AUACUUGAUAUACAAACCGCUCGUAUAAUCGCAAGGAUUGGCUUGCAAGUUUCUACCGGAAGACCGUAAUCUUCCGACUACGAGUGAAUGGUGAUGCAUA
rnacentral:ncRNA from 2 species